AGAACCCUAUUUAUUUAUUUUAUUUAUUUUUUGAUAAGAUAAGGUAUACGGGCUUAAUAAUUCCUCUAUCACAUAGAAGGUUCAUUAGAAUCUAAAAGUCUCCCUGUCACAUGAAAGACUGAUAGAUUAGAAGAAUUCUGAUUAAUGAGUACUGCAUGCAUUGUUCGAAUAUAUUUUUCGAGAAAAAGGGGAAUUUAUUGGCGCAUAAUUUAUAAUAUUGAUUUUUUGCGUCGGAAUUUCUAUUGGAAUUUAUGAUCUUGUUCCGUCAAAUAAAUCUACAGAGCAAGGAGCUUCUUUUUGAUCUGAUGAUGCGGUGUUAUCGGCAAAAAAGGUUUAAGAUGAUGUCAGAUAAUAAUUUCAACAGAGUAAUUUUGGUUACAAGCCUUAAUUCCUUGUUGGAUAUUGGUUGCUGUCAAGUUGCAUUGUGGAUUUGUGGUGGAAUUAAUCAAAUAAUUUCAAUUGUGGGAACAUCAAUAUAAUCCCCACGUGGCAUGCUACAUAGUAGUUCCUUCGCCGAAUGGAGAAUCCCUCAAAGUGGUGUUAAAGGAUUGUUGAUUAUUAUUAUGUGCCCCAAGUAUGCAUAAUUUUAUUAUUAUGAAAUAUUGCGGCAAUGUGGGGGUUGAGUUAGUGUUUUCCCGUGUUGGUGAGUAUUUUGAGAUGGGGAACCUUUUUUGAGCUCUUAGUCUAUAGCUAAGUGAUAUUUGUGUUGUUAAAUUACAAGUACCUUUUUUAUGCAACUUGUUGUGUGCUUUGUUUAAUCAUGUAUGAUUAUGUGCUUUGCAAUUUUUCCUAAUUGAUUAGGGAUGUUAAUUGUUUUAUUUUUUGAUAGUUUUUGUGUUGAAUUGUUUCCCUAAUCUUAAAAAAAUAUUUGUUGAGCAUGGAGUACGUUGUGAUAAGCUUGUGAGGUUCCUUGUUGAGAUUUAGAAUUAUUGUUGUUAAUUCUUGUGGUUUUUAGUUUAGCUUAUAUUUUGAACUUGAAAUGUGUAUAACUACUAGAGAACUAGCAUUUGACUUUUCAUGUUGAAGGUCUAGAGGGACCGGAUUUUCUCCAUACUGGAGAGCAGAAGUGAAAGGUAUGAUUUGACAAGGACUAGUAAGGUUGUACAAGUCUAAAUGUUAUGGACUCCAUAUGCGGUAAGAAUAGAAAUUAAAUUUCUAUGUCUUCAAUGUUGAUUUUAUAUCAUGUGAAUAUUUGCUAUGUGGGGGUAGUUUUAUAGUUUAGGUUGUUAUACUAGUAAAAUGUUAUUCACCCAAGUUGUUAGUUGUCUCUCCUUGAAAUUUUGACAGGAGUUAGGUUUUAUCACAAGGUGUGAUGUGUGGGGGUUUUUUAACUUUGAAGUUUAUUCUGUAAAGUACGUUUCAUACGGCAUGUGUGAUCAGUAUAUAUGUUGAACUAUGAGCUAUGUGUGUAAGUUUGUAUGACUUUAAUAUGACUAAUCAUGUAUGUGAAGUUUCUCAAGUACAGUUUAUAUCAUGUAUUAACCUGUUACCUCGGUUGAUCAUGUGGGUGUUCUUUGUUUCUUAAGCUUUGGUGUGGCCAGUGUAGUUGAUGAGUGAAUCAACUAAGGUAAGUAUAAUGACUAAAGCAUGAACUAGUUUUUUUAUCUUGUGUUUACUUUCUUGUUUGAAAGGUUUAAAUGGAUUGAUUUCUUGGUAUUCUAGUAAUGGUGGAUAGGAAUCUGGAACCAUAUGAAUAGACCAUGAUAAAUGUUACUUGAACUAGUUUUGAAGAGAAAAAGCAUGUUAACUUAAAAGUAAGCUCUUGUUGAGUUUUAUGUGCUUGAUAUUUAUAUGUCUUGUCUUGCCAUGAAAUGUCCUUCAGUUGUAAGUGCCUUUUAAAGGAAAUUGGAAGGUUUUUGUUUGCAUUGGAAGGAGGUUGAGGGUAAGAUAUUGUGUUUUCACAGUAUACAUGUAAGUUUGGUAUUGACGCAAUUUUAUUACUCACUUGUAUUAUGAGUUUGUCAUAUUUGCAGUGAGGUUGCGUAGGCUUUCUAACGUGAUUGAUUAUAAAUCAUGGUAUUUGUUAGUGAUGCAAUUAUAUAAGACAACUCAAGGUAUAAGGUAUAACCUUCAUAUAUUAAAUUAAAUUUUGCAAUUAAUAUGGUGAGUGGACUAGACAAGUCAUGUGGGGAUCAAGCGUAAGUACCCAAACUAUGUCAAAUAUUUUUCAUUCUUGGCAUGCUAAUGCACUGAUGUAAUGCGUGUGUGUGUUUAUUAUGAUGAGCAUUGAUGUUGGUCAGAUGCUAGACUAAUCAUAUGUUGUUCGUUAGAUGCUAGCCUAAUCAUAUGUUGUUGAUUACACAUGUAUUGUAUUGGUUUAUUGAGAUUGAUGGUCUUAAUUUUUAUCCAUGCCAAGAUGAAAGUAUGAGAUAAUGAGAUGAAUGGUAUUAUUCUGGGUGGUAAGAUCAUUGAAUCGACCAAGGUAUGUAUCAAGCUCAUUCUCACUGUGUAGAGAACCUGAUUUGGUGAAUAAGUUGCUCAUGUUAAAACCUGAGUUGUUGGUGUGGAUUAGCUUUAAUGUUUGAUUCAAUAUGCAGAAAGAAAUUUGUUGGUUCACUAAAUUAAUCUGUCUAGAUAGCAUUUUCCAAUCGUUGUUGGGGUUGGAGCAGUGUAGGGGACAAAGGUUAAGUAAAUAACAAAAAUUAUGAUUUCCCUACCAGAGUAUGUUUUUAUAGGUUGAUGGGUUGUACUCUGUUUUGAUUUAUUUGCAAAGCACAUCGUCAGCUUCGUUCUCUCUCCGUUGACCGUCUUUGGCAUGUCGCUUGGUGCGGUUCUUCCUCUUCUCUUGCCAUCGAGGGGUUGUUGGUGACUGGUGCGUGAGGUGACUGGUUGCUGUUGUUUCUUGUUAUUGUUGCGGUGGAGGUGCAGCGAGGGGCUGAUGGUACUGUUGUUGAUUUUAUCCAUGGUUUUCUUGUGGGGAGGGUUGUGGAUGAUAGAGAAAUAGCUGUCCAAUUCGUGAAAUAUGGUCCAAAUGCAGAGAAAAUCUGUAACCUUCUGAGAAUGGCUAUGUCAAGAACUAUCAUUUACAUAGCUGGUUCACAUACUCCAUACUUCUUCUGGUUUUAAGCACAGCCGAUUUUUGCCUUGUUGCUGUUCUGCUGGAGCUGCUGUCCCUGCUGCUCUAAAAGCUAAAAUUGUAUAUUUUAUUUUAUCAUUAUUUUGCAGGUGUAAAGUUACAGUUAUUAAUGAAAAUAUAUGAGUUUUAUGUUUAUUACUUAUAUAUAUAAGUGUUUGGCGGUCAACUCAAGUAAAAAAACCAAAAAAAAAAUAAAAUAAAUAAAUAAAUAAAUUUUUUUGGGUACUAAAGGACAGCGGUUUGGCCCACUGAACCGCUGCAUUACGCCUUACCAUCCACCUGUAAACAACAAAUGGGAAGUGGUUUGGAGUGUGAACCUCUGCCCAUUUCCUCUAAAUGGGAAGUGGUUUGAACCGCUGCCCAUUACAAG